GUUUUAAUAGUUUAAGAAAAACAUUGGUCUUGUAAACCAAAAUUGAAAUUAUUCUUAAAACU
rnacentral:tRNA from 2 species